UACGUAGGGGGCGAGCGUUGUCCGGAUUUACUGGGCGUAAAGGGCGCGUAGGCGGCCACCGCAAGUCGACUGUGAAAUCUCCGGGCUUAACCCGGAAAGGUCAGCCGAUACUGCGGGGCUAGAGUGCAGAAGGGGCAACUGGAAUUCUCGGUGUAGCGGUGAAAUGCGUAGAUAUCGAGAGGAACACCUGCGGCGAAGGCGGGUUGCUGGGCUGACACUGACGCUGAGGAACGAAAGCCAGGGGAGCGAACGGG
rnacentral:rRNA from 1 species